UCCUACGUAGGCAAAUGGUGGAGAGUC
rnacentral:piRNA from 1 species